UACGUAGGGCGCAAGCGUUGUCCGGAAUUAUUGGGCGUAAAGAGCUCGUAGGCGGCCAGUUGCGUCUGCUGUGAAAUCCCGGGGCUCAACCCCGGGCGUGCAGUGGAUACGGGCUGGCUAGAGGCAGGCAGGGGAGAACGGAAUUCCCGGUGUAGCGGUGAAAUGCGCAGAUAUCGGGAAGAACACCCGUGGCGAAGGCGGCUCGCUGGGACGGUACUGACGCUGAGACGCGAAAGCGUGGGGAGCGAACAGG
rnacentral:rRNA from 1 species